UACAGAGGGGGGCAAGCGUUUGUUCGGAAUUACUGGGCGUAAAGGGCGCGUAGGCGGCCUGUUAAGUCGAACGUGAAAUCCCCGGGCUCAACCCGGGAACUGCGUCCGAUACUGGCAGGCUUGAAUCCGGGAGAGGGAUGCAGAAUUCCAGGUGUAGCGGUGAAAUGCGUAGAUAUCUGGAGGAAUACCGGUGGCGAAGGCGGCAUCCUGGACCGACAUUGACGCUGAGGAGCGAAAGCUAGGGGAGCAAACGGG
rnacentral:rRNA from 1 species